AUUGAACGCUGGCGGCAUGCCUUACACAUGCAAGUCGAACGGCAGCACGGGAGCAAUCCUGGUGGCGAGUGGCGAACGGGUGAGUAAUAUAUCGGAACGUGCCCAGUAGUGGGGGAUAGCCCGGCGAAAGCCGGAUUAAUACCGCAUGAGACCUGAGGGUGAAAGCGGGGGAUCGCAAGACCUCGCGCUAUUGGAGCGGCCGAUAUCAGAUUAGCUAGUUGGUGGGGUAAAGGCCUACCAAGGCAACGAUCUGUAGUUGGUCUGAGAGGACGACCAGCCACACUGGGAUUGAGACACGGCCCAGACUCCUACGGGAGGCAGCAGUGGGGAAUUUUGGACAAUGGGCGCAAGCCUGAUCCAGCAAUGCCGCGUGCAGGAAGAAGGCCU
rnacentral:rRNA from 1 species